rnacentral:rRNA from 2 species
UACGUAGGUGGCAAGCGUUGUCCGGAAUUAUUGGGCGUAAAGAGCAUGUAGGUGGAUACUUAAGUCUGUUGUGAAAAUGCGGGGCUCAACCCCGUAUUGCGAUGGAAACUGGGUGUCUUGAGUGCAGGAGAGGAAAGGGGAAUUCCCAGUGUAGCGGUGAAAUGCGUAGAUAUUGGGAGGAACACCAGUGGCGAAGGCGCCUUUCUGGACUGUGUCUGACACUGAGAUGCGAAAGCUAGGGGAGCGAACGGG